UUCUACCUUCAAUUAUUGGUAACGUUGCCCUUACCCUGUCGAACCGAGCGAGUGAGAAAUUUACCCACCCCUCAGUUUGCAGGGUACAAGCAACUUGCUAUUUCUCACCACGGUAUGCA
rnacentral:precursor_RNA from 8 species